CACCAGUUUGGUUCUAGCCGUAAAACUAGCUAUAAUUAUAUUUUACACAUGCAAAUUUAAUAUUCCCUUAUCAAUCAUCCUAAAGGAAAAAAAAAAAAUUGCCCGCAGUGAAGAGCCCUAUCAUAUCUAUGAAAGUAGGAUGUGGUAAUAAUUUUUAGAGUUGAUAAAAUUCGUGCCAGCCAUCGCGGUUAUACGAUAAACUCAAGUUAAUUUCAUCGGAUUAAUGGAAGAAAAUGAUAAAAACUUUAACACCAUAGGUACAAUUUGUAAUCUUUAUCUACCCUCUAUUUAUCUUUUAUCCCCCCAUGAAAGUUUAGACCAAAACAAGGAUUAGAUACCCUUUUAUUCUAAACCUUAAAUAACAUCCUGGUACUACGAACACAUGUUUAAAACCUAAAGAACUUGGCGGUAUUUCAUCCAAUUAGGGGAGCCUGUUAAAUAAAUCGAUAAUCCACGCUUAAAUUUACCUAUACUUGAUUUCAGCUUGUAUACUGCCGUCGCAAGCUUACACUGAGAAGUAGUAAGCCUCUAUCUAUAAUAUUACGUCAGGUCAAAGUGCAGCUUAUGUUUAGGAUUUAAUGGGCUACUUUUUUUAAAAAUUCGGAUUAAUUUUUAAUUAAAUUAUAAAGUUGGACUUAAAAGUAAUAUUAGAUUAAAUUACUACUAUGAAAUAGGUAAUCUGAAAUGUGCACACAUCGCCCGUCACUCUCGCCGAAAGGGGAGAUAAGUCGUAACAUAGUAGACGUAACGGAAGUUGUGUCUCAAGAUAG
rnacentral:ncRNA from 1 species